rnacentral:rRNA from 1 species
UUGUGUGAUCAUACUAGCACUAAAGCAUCGGAUCCCAUCAAAACUUUGAAGUUAAGGGUGCUUGGGCGAGAGUAGUACUAGGAUGGGUGACCCCCUGGGAAGUCCUCGUGUUGCACUCU